rnacentral:rRNA from 1 species
AGUGAACGCUGGCGGUAGGCCUAACACAUGCAAGUCGAACGGCAGCACAGUAAGAGCUUGCUCUUACGGGUGGCGAGUGGCGGACGGGUGAGGAAUACAUCGGAAUCUACUUUUUCGUGGGGGAUAACGUAGGGAAACUUACGCUAAUACCGCAUACGACCUACGGGUGAAAGCAGGGGAUCUUCGGACCUUGCGCGAUUGAAUGAGCCGAUGUCGGAUUAGCUAGUUGGCGGGGUAAAGGCCCACCAAGGCGACGAUCCGUAGCUGGUCUGAGAGGAUGAUCAGCCACACUGGAACUGAGACACAGUCCAGACUCCUACGGGAGGCAGCAGUGGGGAAUAUUGGACAAUGGGCGCAAGCCUGAUCCAGCCAUACCGCGUGGGUGAAGAAGGCCUUCGGAUUGUAAAGCCCUUUUGUUGGGAAAGAAAAGCAGCAGGUUAAUACCCCGCUGUUCUGACGGUACCCAAAGAAUAAGCACCGGCUAACUUCGUG